rnacentral:rRNA from 1 species
UGGGGAAUAUUGGGCAAUGGGCGCAAGCCUGACCCAGCAACGCCGCGUGAAGGAAGAAGGCUUUCGGGUUGUAAACUUCUUUUCUCAGGGACGAAGCAAGUGACGGUACCUGAGGAAUAAGCCACGGCUAACUACGUGCCAGCAGCCGCGGUAAUACGUAGGUGGCAAGCGUUAUCCGGAUUUACUGGGUGUAAAGGGCGUGUAGGCGGGACUGCAAGUCAGAUGUGAAAACCAUGGGCUCAACCUGUGGCCUGCAUUUGAAACUGUAGUUCUUGAGUACUGGAGAGGCAGACGGAAUUCCUAGUGUAGCGGUGAAAUGCGUAGAUAUUAGGAGGAACACCAGUGGCGAAGGCGGUCUGCUGGACAGCAACUGACGCUGGGGCGCGAAAGCGUGGGGAGCAAACAGGAUUAGAUACCC